rnacentral:rRNA from 1 species
CCUGCCCACCACUUGGGGAUAACCUUGCGAAAGUAAGACUAAUACCCAAUGAUAUCUCUAGAAGACAUCUGAAGGAGAUUAAAGAUUUAUCGGUGAUGGAUGGGGAUGCGUCUGAUUAGCUUGUUGGCGGGGUAACGGCCCACCAAGGCAACGAUCAGUAGGGGUUCUGAGAGGAAGGUCCCCCACAUUGGAACUGAGACACGGUCCAAACUCCUACGGGAGGCAGCAGUGAGGAAUAUUGGUCAAUGGACGAGAGUCUGAACCAGCCAAGUAGCGUGCAGGAUGACGGCCCUAUGGGUUGUAAACUGCUUUUAUAAGGGAAUAAAGUGAGUCUCGUGAGACUUUUUGCAUGUACCUUAUGAAUAAGGACCGGCUAAUUCCGUGCCAGCAGCCGCGGUAAUACGGAAGGUCCGGGCGUUAUCCGGAUUUAUUGGGUUUAAAGGGAGCGUAGGCCGGAGAUUAAGCGUGUUGUGAAAUGUAGACGCUCAACGUCUGCACUGCAGCGCGAACUGGUUUCCUUGAGUACGCACAAAGUGGGCGGAAUUCGUGGUGUAGCGGUGAAAUGCUUAGAUAUCACGAAGAACUCCGAUUGCGAAGGCAGCUCACUGGAGCGCAACUGACGCUGAAGCUCGAAAGUGCGGGUAUCGAACAGGAUUAGAUACCCUGGUAGUCCGCACGGUAAACGAUGGAUGCCCGCUGUUGGUCUGAAUAGGUCAGCGGCCAAGCGAAAGCAUUAAGCAUCCCACCUGGGGAGUA